rnacentral:rRNA from 1 species
AACGAACGCUGGCGGCAUGCCUAAUACAUGCAAGUCGAACGAGAAAGUCACUUCGGUGGCGAGUAGAGUGGCGCACGGGUGAGUAACACGUAGGUGACCUGCCUAUAAGUUGGGGAUAACAGAGAGAAAUUUCUGCUAAUACCGAAUAAGCUAUACAAAUUUGAAUGUAGUAUAGGAAAGACCGCAUCUUUCGGGGUGCAGUUGCUGAUUGAGGGGCCUGCGGGCCAUUAGCUUGUUGGUGAGGUAACGGCUCACCAAGGCAACGAUGGCUAGCCGGUUUGAGAGAACGAUCGGCCACACUGGAACUGAGACACGGUCCAGACUCCUACGGGAGGCAGCAGUAGGGAAUAUUGCGCAAUGGGGGAAACCCUGACGCAGCAAUGCCGAGUGAGUGAGGAAGGCCUUAGGGUUGUAAAACUCUGUCAGUGGGGAAAAACGGUGCUAAGUUUAAGAGAUUCAAGGUUUGAUGGUACCUUAGAAGAAAGCACCGGCUAACUUCGUGCCAGCAGCCGCGGUAAUACGAAGGGUGCAAGCGUUGUUCGGAUUUACUGGGCGUAAAGAGCGCGUAGGCGGAUUAAAAAGUCAGGUGUGAAAUCUCGGGGCCUAACCCCGAAACUGCGCCUGAAACUUUUAGUCUAGAAUCUCGGAGAGGGAAGGGGAAUUUCACAUGUAGGGGUAAAAUCCGUAGAGAUGUGAAGGAACGUUCGAGGCGAAAGCGCCUUCCUGGACGAGUAUUGACGCUGAGGCGCGAAAGCGUGGGGAGCAAACAGGAUUAGAUACCCUGGUAGUCCACGCCGUAAACGAUGAGAACUAGACAUCGCGGGUAUUGACCCCUGCGGUGUCGAAGCUAACGCAUUAAGUACUCCGCCUGGGGAGUACGGUCGCAAGACUAAAACUCAAAGGAAUUGACGGGGGCCCGCACAAGCGGUGGAUCAUGUGGUUUAAUUCGAAGCAACGCGCAAAACCUUACCUGGGCUUGAAAUCCCGAGAAUCUGAUAGAGGUAUCGGAGUGCCCUUCGGGGAAUUCGGUGACAGGCGCUGCAUGGCUGUCGUCAGCUCGUGUUGUGAAAUGUUGGGUUAAGUCUCGCAACGAGCGCAACCCCUAUCUUUAGUUGCCAGCAUUAAGUUGGGCACUCUAGAGAGACUGCCUGGGCUAACCAGGAGGAAGGUGGGGAUGACGUCAAGUCCUCAUGGCCCUUAUGUCCAGGGCUACACACGUGAUACAAUGGCAAGUACAAUGGGAUGCGAACUCGCGAGGGGGAGCAAACCUCAAAAAGCUUGUCUCAGUCCGGAUUGGAGUCUGCAACUCGACUCCAUGAAGUUGGAAUCGCUAGUAAUCGUGGAUCAGCACGCCACGGUGAAUACGUUCUCGGGCCUUGUACACACCGCCCGUCACACCAUGGGAGUUGACUUUACUUGAAGCCGUGACCCUAACCUUCGGGAGGGGAGCGUCUAUGGUGAGGUCGAUGACUGGGGU